UCCUUGUUCUUCCUAUGAUGAAGGCAAGUAUGUUCUUGGAAAGGCUGUGAAUCUAGAACUGCUUUUAGGUGAUCUGCAGGUGACACAGGCCUCCCACACCAUCACAGUGAGGCAGAGCUAUGAGACAGGAGCCAGGGCUUCUGUGAUGCAGAAACUGCUCUGCACCUGUAGGGGUGGAAUCUAGUAAAAAUGUUCUGAGUUGUUCUUAGAUCAACUUGGUGUGUUCUUCUUAAUAUCUUGAUUAUCUAUGGCAAUUUUUAAAAAAUAUUUAUUUAUUUAUUUAUUUAUUUAUUUAU
rfam:Ictidomys tridecemlineatus contig069193, whole genome shotgun sequence.